GUUAUGUUUACAGGAUAAACGCAAAAAAGAUAACGGCAGCGCUUUAACCGUUAUCUUGAAUCAGACCACAUUAAUUUUUUUCUUCGCCUUUGGUUCACACUUUUCAGUGAGAAAAGAGAGGGAGAGGCGAAGGAUGGGGAAGUACACGAGGAAGUGCAGCAGAGGGGUCGGAGAACUCGCGGUGAUGGAGGUGACCCAGGUGGUUGGGGUGAGGACGAGAGGGCGGUCCCACUCCCUCGCCGACGCGGCCGCUGCCGCCGUCAAGAGUCCAAGGCGGAGGAGAACGGCCGCGCCGCCGUCCACGGAGGUAGUGCAGACGUCGUCCUACCUCCAGCUCCGCAGCCGCCCCCUCUUCAUGACGAUCCGGAGGCCGCGGUUGCAGGCAGAGAAUUCCCCCGCCGCCUCCGACCCCGGCCCUGCUGCGGAGGGGAUCUCCCAGUGCUCGAGCAACGGUUCUAGCGAGGUGGUGGGCGACGGGACGAAAGUCGAGGUUCUGGGGAGUUCGACGUGCAACUUCAAAUCUAGAAGGGCGAGAGAGACGACCCCCUCGAGCGUGGCACGUCGCGAAGCGGGCGAUCUGGAAUCGACGGCUGCGAGGGCGAGAAUGAGGUCGGGUUCGAGUCCGACGGUUGGGGCGACAACGAUGGAAGCCGAAAUCGAGGAGUUUUUCGCGGCGGCGGAGACGGAUCAGGCGCAGCGCUUCGCCGAGAAGUACAAUUACGACGUUAUCGGCGACGUUCCGUUGGACGGCCGCUUCGACUGGGUUCGGAUCAACCUUUGAAGCGAACGGCCAAAGAAAAUGCAAAAAAAAAAAAGAAACUUCUUUGUCAUUUCGUCUCUCUUUCAUGUGGGUUUUCUUUGGGGGUCUGUAGUUUCUUCUAGAAGCAAUGUACAGAAUUGUAAGUUAAACCACCGCCACUUCAUCGCUGUCCCUUUCUCCACCUUCAGUCGUAAGGAUAGGAGGUAGGAGAAGUAGAAUAUGCUUCCAUCUCCUGCUGCAGUCCUAAGAAACACUAGUCUCCCUUCUCCCGCUCCUUUCCACGGUCCGCUCUCGAUCGCACGGCCCACCCUGCCUGAUAAAAUUUCCCUAUACUGGUGGGCGGAGGCGACGAGGAAGAGGAAGGAGGAAGCAGGGAGGAGCUCUCGGCCGGCGGUGCUCCGCCACGUGACGAUGAACCCGACGGUUUGGCGGAAAGCUUGAGAAGAGGGCCCGCGCGGCACGUGGUGAGAGCUCUUGCCCGCCCAAUCAUCUCGCAUUUGCGUUCUACUUUUCCUCCGCUAUUUUCUCUGCGAUCGAUCGAAACUCGAUUUUAAAUUACUUGUUUUGCUGUUCUGGGGGCUGCUUCGGAUCGCGUGAACUUGUAAUCAUGAGAUGGAAGAACGCACUCGGUGGGAAAGUGAGAGAGAGAGAGAGAGAGGAAAGGAGGAAUAUUCCACCUUCGGAAAUCGUGCGAGUCGCUUCCACCGAAGAGAUGUGGAAGAGAUUAAAUGAAAAAAGAAGUAAUGGAUGAGAUUAAAAAAAAGAGAGGAUGGAAGUCUGAGCUCCACGCCUUCUGGUGGAAGGAAUUUGGGGGUUGGAGUUCCCGGAUGGGGAGACUUGUUGUGGAUCCCUAGACCAGUAACAUUCCAUAAGGGGGCGCUAAGAUAGUAGCCGAGCUUCUGAGGUCUCUUUAUGAUCUGCGACCGCAGAUGACUUUGACAUAUGCCUCUAAAGCGGACCUUUUGAAGUCCCUUUUCGAUUGCAGGCCAUAUGAGGUUGAUGGGAAAGGAAGUUAAAAAAAUCAAAUAUUUGUAACAGAGGAAUCCGAACAUGCGAAAGGAAGUGAAAUAUUGAAACGCGAGGAAGCGAAUAUGAGUUUUUUUAUGGAAAGAAGUAACUUGAAACGAGACUAUGAGAGAUGGAUGGGUGAUCGGAAGACGUAUUAAUGUUGAGCACCAUCUCGAUUCGAUGGAUUGAUUAUUUUUGCUGAAAUUGUUAGAUGUAUCCAUGUAAUUAAGAGUCAUGCUUUGCACUGCCCAUUGUGGCAUUAUUAUAUUUUCCCUGAAUAUUGAAAAGGUAAGUUGACCACGUUACAAGGAGUGAGUGAUAUCGGGAAGACAAUUUGACCAGAUUAAAGGGUUUGACAAUCUGGUGUAUUUUAUAUAAUACUUACAAACUUUCGGCAAAUGCCACAUACUCCUAACGAGAAGUAUUCCUUGGAAGAUGUGUUUGCGGAUUUCGAACUCCAUGCAAACUACGUUCCUGCAAUUAUUUGUUUAUUGUACCAAAAAGUAAUCGUCAUUCGCAGAUAUGCAGUAUAUAGAGAAGGCCAACAACUAGUAGAUGAUACUGUAGGGACAUUUGACUAAUGAAAUGUAGGCAAGAGUUGGAAAUUAGUAGCCAAAGAAUGUCUAAAAGCAGAAAACAGAAAUAGUUACCAAAUAAGCUAUAUCUUCUAAUUACAUUGGUUUCUUCUGUCUUUAAGUGAAGUUUUGUGCUCCUAAAUAGAAUCUUCCAAGUACAUUACAACGAAUAUGUAAACUACGGUUCUAAUAUGUAAACAACGGAAAAACACUAUCGUGUAGAACCAUAUAGUCAUUCUCCAAUGAUUCUAUGGUUUUAAUGUUUUGCAUAAGACUAACUCGAAAGGCUUACCUAUUUGAUUAGAUAUAAAAUAUUUCCUCAAACGUAAGGGUUAGAGCUGUCUUAAUUGAUUGGGAUCCUUCGUAUAUUAGUUGGCUUUCGAGAUCAAUUAAUAACUAGCGGUUAAAAAGCGUUUUGUAUUUAUCGGUUGACUUUUAACCAUGUCUCGUCGCGAGUUGACCCGACCGAGAGCCUUGAGUUUGGAUUCACUGAAUCACCGAGUCGAGAAUACAUCCUCAACCCGUAUUUGAUGGUGUGUGCAGAACACAAUAGCCGAUCCGAAUUCAACGAACGGAUCGUCAUACCAGUGUACUAUUCCUUCAUCAAUUGUAAAUCCGAAUCCGAUCCGGUUUCUGGUAUUAUCCCAGUCUUCUCUGUGGGUGCCGCGGGCGAGCCACAACCCCUUUCAUCUAAUGACUCCAAUUAAGAGACUCGUGGGUGCCUCGUCCACUCUCUUUCCACAUCACGUCCGAGGUGUGCUCCACCAAUUGAAGUCAUCGUCCCACGCACGAAGUGCGUCUACGCAUUUUGUAGUGGUGUGGCGACACACGUCCAUCGAGUGGACAAGCGAUAAAGGCAUUCAACCAAAUGAGUAGAUGAUGCCUUCCUGAGAUGUUUUCCAGCAGUCUUCUACUAAAUUCCCAAGACUGCAACGCCCCUCGUGUCAAAUGACGUAAUUUACGUCAGAUUAUGUUACAUAUAUAAGUUCCCUGCCAAAUGCCAGCUCAGAUGGACAAGACAACCAACUCUGGCAUUCCACAUUUAAGUGGGCCCCAAUGACAGGGCGGCAUGUAUUCGAGUUGAAAAUAGACGUGGCGGUAUAGAUAUACAGGAUUAAUAGUACAGUGACACUUUACUUACCAGAUUUUGAUUGGCGAGAGCAACGGAAUCCCAUGGAGCUCACGUUCCGCGUCUAAUAAAAAGACAACGAGAAGAGUGAGUACCCAAUGAAGCGUCGACAGGCGUCCAUGGAGCAAGGGAGGAGAAGGGUUUAUUUUAUUUUAUUGUAUUAUUAAUGUUGGCACGAGCGGUCGCACAAAAGGAGGAAUAAUCGACGAAGUCGGGAGGCUUGGGGGUUUUCGUGAGAUUUCGGGCCGUGGAGGUUCGGGAUGAUGUGGGCCGAGGGAGGGCGGUUCUACCGGGGGAGGACGGAGGGGGAAGGGCGGAGGGAAGCGAAGGGCAUCGUGGUGAUGUUCGCGUGGCUCUCUAGCCUGGAGAGCCAUCUGAAGCCUUACGUCGAUCUUUACUGGUCUCUCGGGUGGAGACCCCUCGUUUGCCAUGUCAAUUUCCUCACGCUGUAAGGCGCUGAUCGCUCUGGUUCUUACUUUCUGACGAAGAUUCUGCGCGACGUCAACGAAUGCAACUCCAGGAUCUGGUUUUUUGUGAUGCUGACCAAUCUAUUCUUGUCUUCCAAAGACAUGGAUGAAGAGAAAUCUGUUGAUUUUCCCUAACAAGGCCACUUCGCUUGCAUGUGGUGUACUUGAUGAGCUCGUGAAGAGUGACAGGUUAUAAAGAUCAAGCAGCUACCAGUUGUUCUAAUAAGCUUUUCUUUGGGAAUAAGUGGUUGCAUGUAUAAGGUUCUUCAGAUUCUCAAUUGAAAGAUGCAAGAAGAACUUGGUCUGGAUGAAUAUCGGCUGAUAAGAGAGUGUAUCUGUGGACAAAUAUAUGACUCCGCUCCUGUAGACUUUACUGGUAAAAUGGCCACUCGAUUUCUCCAUCAUCAUACAGCUCAGAGAUUGUUUAGCCCAACAAAAAUAACAUCAUGGAUGAGAAAAGUCUUGACAUCUGGUCUGGAUGUUGUUCUCCCAAGUAGAUCUGAAGCACAGCAUGCAGAGUAUUGGCAGUCUUUGUACUCAUCAGUUGCAAUACUACACUUUUUAUUUUGAAGUCAUUUUUUACAACGUCCAACUAAAAUUAUUGGUGUUUUAUGCUAUUUCCAUUCACAUUUUCUUGUUAUUUGUUGCAGAGCAUGGGUCCUAUUCUUAUAUUUUCAUCAGAAGAUGAUGACCUUGCCCCUUACCAAGUUAUCUUUGAAUUUUUCUCUACGUCUGAAAGAGCUCGGUGUCGAUGCUAGACAUGUCAAAUGGAGUAAUUCUCCUCAUGUAUGUGAGUCCUGACCUGAUUUGCACUGUUUUGAAUUCAAUGUGACGAAAAGUAGGUAAGGUUGUUUUACCAAUUAAACCACUGUUGUAUAGAUUAUCUCAUUUCCACAUCUUAAAUCCUGUACCUUUAGCAUUGUCUGUAACCAAAGGGACCAUAACAUUAUAAGACAAGGUUAUACCAAAUUAUAACCAUCUCAUGGCAUGACAUUAGCAUCUGGACUCAAUUCCGGCAAUAUAGACUAGUUAAUGACUGCUCAAUAUUGCCUUAGAACAAUUUGAGUAUAUAAUUGUGGAAAUUUUAAUGCUGUUCAUUUCAUGGAUUAAGGUUUUGCACUUCAUAAUUUUGGCAUGUGAUAGCAGAGGCACAACAUAACAUUGUGUGUAUGUUGCCAGGGGCCAACUGGCAAUGUAACAGCAUUUAACAUUUAAACCUUGAUUCAUUUGAUAUAUUUAUGCUCUAUCUUUCUCACGUCAAGUUAUUUGGACUUCUUUGUAAUCCUCUGUUUGGUUACUUUAAGGCACUAUAGUCAUCACCAAACUGAUUACCACUCCAAUGUCAUUGAGUUACUUGGCAAGGCAGCUACAAUAUUUUCCCAGAGAAGGCUAUUCAAUGAAGGAUCAGAAAACCUCAGAAGUUCCUGUAACAAUAUAUCAGAGUCCAUCUGCAGUCUUCAUGAAAUGGCACUGAGCUCAAACGAGAGCUUAAGAAGGGUCGACGUUAGUGCUGGUGAUAAUAUUUGUUUACCCAGCACAAGCAACAAUCUGGAAGUGAAAGUUGGAAGCUCUUUGCUAGACGAGCGGAAGGGUAAUUCGUUUACUUUGCCCAGCAUCAACCCGCAAGGGGUUUUAAGCCAGAUCUUGUUCGAUGUAUCUGUUCCUAAGAAUGUUGAGGGCUGGGACAUAAAGCCAGUUUCCUUAAAUGUGAAGCAGUCUAUUGAUUCAGCCCACCAUCAUGGUCCUUCAAAUCAUAUGAGGUGCAUGAGAUGCUCUAGAUUGUAGAAAUUUUCCGCUGACUGCCGAGGGAUAUCUGUAAAUGUAACUGGAUGCAUGUGAAUGCAACCAUCAGCACUGUAUAGUCUUUGGUAGAGAUUCCGAAAUCAGAACAAGGAUGUGCUACUGCUCUACAUUGUGUAUUCCUUCCAGGAUCAAAAGGUACAUGGCACAUAUAUCUUGUAAUUCCUUUCUCUGUUUUC